rnacentral:lncRNA from 1 species
AAGCACCUCUUGACCACAGGAACAGUGUCUGCUUUGGUUUCUGCAGACAGGAUGGAUCCCCAGGUUGUGACAAAACAUUCUUACCAAAGAAAGCAGUAUACAUGAGAGGAAAAGUUUCUUUAGCUGAAAAUUCUAGAUUAUAGUACAUGUCAGUAAGAAAGGCAAAAUAGCAUGGAAGUUAAAGUAUUGCUCCACAACCUUAGAGCAGAGAAAAUAGAUGGAUGCAUUCUUCAAGUAUUGAACUGACUUUCCUUCUCAAUCAAUCCCAGUUUAUUCAGUCCAAGAGUGCUCCCUAUAUUCAAGAGCUGACAUAGAUGAAUCUUUAGUCAUGGACUGAAGAGAUAAAUGAGAAAAACAAAGAGUUCCCAUGGAAUAAUCACCAGAUUUUAUGCUUCACCAGUUCCUGUCACUUCCCAAUAGCAUGAUGCUGAAGACUGGAUUUUACUAUGUAAACAUUUUCAAGACACUGAAGAUUUGAAGUAUUUUUUAAUAUAGCCAACUUUUCUCAUAACAAGUCCUUUAUUUGAAUCAGGCAAAUAUGCAAACAGAAUGCUGUUGUAAGACUCCAGGGAGCCUUAGCUUUCUGGAGAUCCUGUGAAUAAAACACAUGAAGCUGGGAUUGAGGCAAAAAGCAAGAGGAAUUUAAUGUUCCUGUGCACCAAGUUCGUCCCAGACCCAAAGGAGAGGCAGUGGCCCCCAGCACCCAACUGCAUCCAUUUCUGGGCGUGCUGACUGUUGGGUGGAAAUCGGUCUUUCAAGUGCUUUAAUACUUCACCAGCAGCCACGAAACAGCUCUGUUCUGCAUGGAACUCUGCAAGAUGGCAGCAAGCGAAGGCAAAGGACUCAGUAUUGUUCUGAUGCACGCCUGCAUUCAGCAACUCCAGGCUGUUCAUGCUAGCCCCCAGACUAGAGAUGAACCUACUACAUUGUGAAUUCUGGCAAAUACUCUACAACUGUAUUACAUCCCAGGGCUGGAACCCAACUCAUCUUCUGCAACAAUUACAGGGCAGGCUGGAUGAAGACACUCAACCAACAAUGUGGCCAUCUCAUGACUGGUUCAUGAGAAUGGCUUCCAAAAUGCUUUCAAGACUGGGAAUGUUUAGCUAUCUGGGAGAGAAAAUAAGGAGACUCAGUCUACACUGUACGUUAAGGACUGUUUAUUCUGUUAAAGGCUGACAUAGAUUAUUGACUCAUGUCACAUGUGAAAGUAAAUAAAAAUCCAGG